UCCUCCGCGCACAUUCAUCAUGGCGGCUGGCCACUGGCAGAGAAUGGAGGGUUUGGCGUUUGUCUGCGGAUUUUCUGUGAGAAAGGGGAUUAAACCCGGGAAAUUAGUAUUAAUAGUGCAAUAAUCAGUUAAUAUUCAUGGCAGGCAGUGAUUUUAUCAAGUAAUCAGACUUUAUGAGUGCAUAUUAUGAAGCCUACACCUCUAAAAAGUGGAAUGCCAAAUUUCGCUAUUGCGCAACUCCUCCGCGCACAUUCAACAUGGCGGCGGGUCAUUGGCAGAGGAUGGAGGUUUUGGCGUUCGUCCGCGGAUUUUCGAAUCGAGACGUAUAAAGAGUGCAAUGUCAAAAACAUCAUUACUGCGCAACUUCACUGCGCACAUCCAUCAUGGCGGCUGGCCACUGGCAGGGGCUGCAGGGUUUGGCGUUCGUCCGCGGAUUUUCGAAUCGAGACGUAGAAAAAGUGCAAAUGCCAAAAACAUGGCUAGUGCGCAACUUCUCUGCGCACAUCCAUCAUGGCGGCCGGCCUUUGGUACUGCACGAAUAGAGAAGGAUCAACGUGAAAAGUGGAAUUGUUGGAGUUGGAUUGGAAUAUAUGCCAAGCUGACGCCGGGUGUUUCAACGACCGGUGAGUCCCCAAAAUAUCAAUUUUUUAUUCUUUAAUUGUUGAUUUCAUUGGUGGAUAACAAUCAGAGGAGGGACGAAUAAAAUUACAAAACACACAAGUCUCUUCUGAUCGUAAAGGAACAAUAAUAAUCUAAAAACGUUCUUCCAGUGAAUAAAUCUAAUGUUUCCGUAUUUUCGACGGCUUUGUUAUUCACAAAUGUCAACUAAAUUUGUUAGGCUUUUUUUCAUUUCGCAUUUUCUCCUCGAGGGAGACCAACGAUACUUUCGUGCUAUAAAAUGCUCAUAAUUAAUUUUCAUUUUCACCUGGACCAAGGGUCAGAUUUUGGAUUUUCUCACAGGGACAGUCGAGUUUCGCUAAAAUCUACGUUUUUCCUCACGUGAAUGUUGAUACUGUAUUUACAAAUUUGCUCCGGGGAAAUUUUGUCCUAUAAUUAAUUAAUAUAAUUAAGAAAUAGAGUAUUAAAAAACAC